UUAAUUGAAGAGUUUGAUCAUGGCUCAGAUUGAACGCUGGCGGCAGGCUUAACACAUGCAAGUCGAGCGGUAGCACGGGGGAGCUUGCUCCCUGGGUGACGAGCGGCGGACGGGUGAGUAAUGUCUGGGAAACUGCCUGAUGGAGGGGGAUAACUACUGGAAACGGUAGCUAAUACCGCAUAACGUCGCAAGACCAAAGAGGGGGACCUUCGGGCCUCUUGCCAUCAGAUGUGCCCAGAUGGGAUUAGCUAGUAGGUGGGGUA
rnacentral:rRNA from 1 species